CAGCCGCCACGGUAAAACGAAGGGGGCUAGCGUUGUUCGGAAUCACUGGGCGUAAAGGGUGCGUAGGCUGGUUCUUAAGUCAGGGGUGAAAUCCCGAGGCUCAACCUCGGAACUGCCUUUGAUACUGGGGAUCUUGAGUCCGGAAGAGGUGAGUGGAACUGCGAGUGUAGAGGUGAAAUUCGUAGAUAUUCGCAAGAACACCGGUGGCGAAGGCGGCUCACUGGUCCGGAACUGACGCUGAGGCACGACAGCGUGGGGAGCAAACAGGAUUAGAUACCCGUGUAGUCCCUGUCUCUUAUAC
rnacentral:rRNA from 1 species